GGGGAUUUAGCUCAGUGGUAGAGCGCUUACCUAGGAAGUGGGCGCAAGGCCCUGGGUUCGGUCCCCAGCUCCG
rnacentral:tRNA from 1 species